ensembl:lncRNA
AUCUAAAUGAGUUAAAUGUAGUGAUGAGUAAAUAAUAAAACAAAGAACAUACAAAAAUCUAUGAUUACAAAGCAAAUAGCAAAAUAUUGAAAUAACAAAAAAUAACUAAAAACAUCAAAAUAUACUACUCUCGCAAGGGUUUAAGAUAACUUAUCAUAGGCAGAAAUGAUAUAUCUGUGUUGUCCUCACCUGAGAAGUCAAAGUAGAAUCCAUCAUUAUGUACAAUAGCUUCAUCAUUGUCGUCAGGAAUCUCUCACUAGGGUGGAUCAGAAAGUGUGCAGUUGAUCAUUAGUCAUAUACCAGAAGUAGCCUGCAUAGUCUAUAGCUUUAUGUCCCUUAUAGGACAAACCAAUUAGUGGAACUGAGAUGGUGGAAAAAGAGUUAAUGGAAAAACACACUUGCAUGAGCAUGAUUAAAACCACAUUGUGAAAUGUUAGGAAACACUUCGACUGAUCCCUUCCUCCUGGACUGAGGGAAAACAGAAAGAGAUAUUGGGCUUAAGGAGAGGGCAGAGUUGGUGGGGGCAGGUGUGAGGCUAAGUGUAAGCUUAUCAUAUAGGCAAAAAGUAUGCCAGGGGCAAGGUUGAUUCAUGACGAGCUGAGUUGGUAGCUUGGCACGCUAUGUGUUGUAGUAUGCCAAGAUGGCGCCAGUGAGGUCGGCUGCCAUCGCGACUGCUCUGACCGAGUUUAGUUUGUUUUUGUGUUUUUUUUAAAAACUUUUUUUCAACAACACUACACCGGCAAAUCUACCACAAUGGAAAGCAUUAAAUACAGUAGAGACACUCUUGUUUUUAUUAGUAUACAAUGCACUUACAAUUUGAAGACUUUUCCGUGAAAUGUCAUCACACUGCUUUUCCGGAUCCCAGCUGGUGAAAUCCUGAGGAAGAACAAAGGACAUGACGCGGAGCUGGCGUCAGGAACAGGCUGAGGGCCCGUGCACACAGCACACCUCUGCCUAGCAUCCUGCUCGCCAACGUCCAGUCACUGGAGAACAAGCUCAAUGACCUCAGGGCCAAGAAAAUAAUGGCAUUGGAAGGACAUGAGACCCCUCACAUCCUGGUGUUCGUGGAUGAAGCUGGCUUCAACCUGGCCAAUGGCUGAAGACGUGGGCGUAAUGUAAAUGGCCACCGGGCCACAGUGAAUGUCCCAGGUC